rnacentral:rRNA from 1 species
GAUGAACGCUGGCGGCGUGCCUAAUACAUGCAAGUCGAGCGAACAGACGAGGAGCUUGCUCCUCUGACGUUAGCGGCGGACGGGUGAGUAACACGUGUAUAACCUACCUAUAAGACUGGUAUAACUUCGGGAAUCCGGAGCUAAUACCGUAUAAUAUCUUGAACCGCAUGGUUCAAUAGUGAAAUACGGUUUUGCUGUCACUUAUAGAUGGAUCUGCGCCGCAUUAGCUAGUUGGUAAGGUAACGGCUUACCAAGGCAACGAUGCGUAACCGAACGGAGAGGGUGAUAGGCCACAUGAGAGCGGAGACACGGACAAGAGUCCUAAGAGAGGCAGCAGUAGGGAAUGUGACGCAAUGGGCGAAAGCCUGACGGAGCAACGCCGCGUGAGUGAUGAAGGUCUUCGGAUCGUAAAAAUCGGUUAUGAGGGAAGAACAAAUUUGUAAGUAACUAUGCCCGUCUUGACGGUACCUAAUCAGAAAGCCACGGCUAACUACGUG